GUAGUAACAAGGUCCCGGUUGGUGAACCAGCGGAGGGAUCAUUACCGAGUUUACAACUCCCAAACCCCUGUGAACAUACCACUUGUUGCCUCGGCGGAUCAGCCCGCUCCCGGUAAAACGGGACGGCCCGCCAGAGGACCCCUAAACUCUGUUUCUAUAUGUAACUUCUGAGUAAAACCAUAAAUAAAUCAAAACUUUCAACAACGGAUCUCUUGGUUCUGGCAUCGAUGAAGAACGCAGCAAAAUGCGAUAAGUAAUGUGAAUUGCAGAAUUCAGUGAAUCAUCGAAUCUUUGAACGCACAUUGCGCCCGCCAGUAUUCUGGCGGGCAUGCCUGUUCGAGCGUCAUUUCAACCCUCAAGCCCUCGGGUUUGGUGUUGGGGAUCGGCGAGCCCUUGCGGCAAGCCGGCCCCGAAAUCUAGUGGCGGUCUCGCUGCAGCCUCCAUUGCGUAGUAGUAAAACCCUCGCAACUGGAACGCGGCGCGGCCAAGCCGUUAAACCCCCAACUUCUGAAUCUGACCUCGCUCAGCAGAUCCCCCCCCCCUCACUUCAUUUUCCCUUCCC
rnacentral:rRNA from 1 species